rnacentral:piRNA from 1 species
UUUNCUGCCACUGUACAUUGUAGGUAGGA